CAGUAGCCACGGUAAUACGGAGGGUGCAAGCGUUGUCCGGAUUUAUUGGGUUUAAAGGGUGCGUAGGCGGCUAUUUAAGUCAGCGGUGAAAGACUCCGGCUCAACCGGAGCAGUGCCAUUGAUACUGGAUAGCUUGAGUGUUGGAGUGGUACAUGGAAUUGAUGGUGUAGCGGUGAAAUGCAUAGAUACCAUCAGGAACACCGAUAGCGAAGGCAUUGUACUGGCCAACAACUGACGCUGAGGCACGAAAGCAUGGGGAGCGAACAGGAUUAGAUACCCCGGUAGUCCCUGUCUCUUAUAC
rnacentral:rRNA from 1 species